rnacentral:rRNA from 1 species
CCUACGGGGGGCAGCAGUGAGGAAUAUUGGUCAAUGGGCGAGAGCCUGAACCAGCCAAGUCGCGUGAGGGAAGACGGUCCUAUGGAUUGUAAACCUCUUUUGCCGGGGAGCAAAAGGCGGUACGUGUACCGCAUCGAGAGUACCCGGAGAAAAAGCAUCGGCUAACACCGUGCCAGCAGCCGCGGUAAUACGGAGGAUGCGAGCGUUAUCCGGAAUUAUUGGGUUUAAAGGGUGCGCAGUCGGCGAGUUAAGUCAGCGGUAAAAUUUCGGGGCUCAAACCCGUCAAGCCGUUGAAACUGGCUAGCUAGAGUAGGCGAGAGGUAUGCGGAACGAGAGGUGUAGCGGUGAAAUGCAUAGAUAU